AAAAAAUUGUAGACCUCCACAAGUCUGGUUCAUCCUUGGGAGCAAUUUCCAAACGCCUGAAGGCUAUCUUUUCGUUGUAGGUAAUCAGGCCUACCGCUGUUGUGUCGUCAGCAAACUUCGUGAUUGAGUUGGAGACGUGCGUGGCCACGCAGUCCUGGGUGAACAUGGAUUACAGGAGGGGGCUGAGCAUGCACCCCAGUGGGGCCCCCGUGUUGAAGAUCAGUCAAUGGUCUACGCUCCUAUGGAGCCAAGGGCUUAAGCCAACUUGAUAGUCAGUAUCUUCGUAACUGCUGGACUCAUCAUUCUCAUCUUGUCUGUGUCAUUUUCAGGUCAGGGCUUAGGGGGUUCCAAGGGCACUGUGGAUAGCAUUGACAAGUGGCCCAUCGGGUACUUGGGAGAGGAUGUCAUCUUGAGCUGCAAGUUCAAGACUUCCACUAACAGCAGGGAAUCGACCAGUCAGGUGUCAAUCACCUGGACGAAGGAGGGGCUAAGUGAAGUGGUGUACAAGUAUGAUAAAGGCGCAGUCCAGCUGACGGAGCAAAACCCCCAGUUUAAAAAUAGAACCCUGCUGUUCUCAGAUGCCAUAGGUGGAGGCAAUGCCUCCCUGUUGCUGAGGGACAUAAAAGUGGGAGACAAUGGGGUGUACUACUGCAGUGUGAGCACUCCUAGUUGCUCGGGAAAUGCCAGUGUUAACCUCAGAGCUGCAGCUUUCUCAGCCCCCAAAUUCAAGCGGGUAAACUCUACCCUAACGGCAGAGGCAGAGAGAUGGUUCCCCAAACCAAACAUCACCUGGUUGGACGUCAAUGACAACGUCCUGAACGAGAGUGAAACUAGCUUCUUCAACAACUCCGCCGGGAUAACUCGAUUCAUCAGCUCCCUUCAGCCAAUCAAAUUGUAUGGCAGCUACACCUGCAUCAUCCAAAACCCUCUGGUGAAGGCUAUCUCCCAGGCAACCAUCAAAGGUCCAGUAAACACCUUUCAGAGAAAAUACAAUUUUAUACUGAGAAAAUACUUGGAUGAGAACUGCAUGUUAGACAACUCUCAUUCAGUUUAAAAACACUUACACAAGUUAAGUCACUCACUCAGAGGACACCUACACACUCUUCAGUCUAUUUCACCACAACAACCCGGCCAAACAUGACAACUAAAUAAAGAUGCAAUUAAAGUGGCGUUUAACCCUACCAAUGACUGGGAGCUCUCUAGGACAUAACUAACAGAAGUAAUUGAGUAUACAAAACAUUAAAAACACCUGCUCUUUCCAUGACAUAGACUGACCAGGUGAAUUCAGGUGAAAGUUAUCAUCCCAUAUUGAUGUCACUUUAAAGGAGGAUUUUUAAUCCUUUAAGACAUGGCCUGUGUAUGGGUGCCAUUCAGAGGGCGAAUGGGCAGGACAAAACCUUUAAGUGCCUUUGAACGGUGUAUGGUAGCAGGUGCCAGGCACACCAGUUUGUGUCAAGAAACGCUGCCGCAGGGUAUUUCACAGUCAACUGUUUCCCGUGUGUAUCAAGAAUUGUCCACCACCCAAAGGACAUGCAGCCAAUUUAACAACUGUGGAAAGCAUCAGGAGUCAACAUGGGCCAGCAUCCCUAUGGAAUGAUUUCAACACCUUGUAGAGUCCAUGUCCUGAUUAAUUUAGGCUGUUCUGGGGGGGUCCUAAUGUUUGGUAUACUCAGUGUAUGUUUGGCAGUGUGCAUACUGUACAGUCAGCAUCUUUUUUUAAAUUACAGAUACAGAGAUAUCAGCAAAGACUUUCUUCUCCUUCAAUACUUCAGCUGCACCACCCAUACUACUACCUCAAUGGCACGUUCUCGCAGCUACGGCCAGUGUUUUUCUCUGGAUCUACCAGCUAACCUGAAACACAUUGACACCAACUGUUCCUCAUAGCCUACAGUCAAGGUUACUAAAAGUACUGUGGUAAAGUGAACUAGUCUGGUACUAUCCACUAGCCUUGGGCUGCCUGGAGUCUGAUGGAAUUUAUGUUGGAUAUAACAAGUGGAGAUACAGUGUGUGUGCGUGCGUGGCUAUAGGUUAUCUAAUAAGUGGUGAAAUUAUAGUUACAUACAGCAGCAAUACUGUAAUUACAUAAUAAUAACAAUUACUUUUGGUUUCUAUGGGAUUCACUGUGGCAAUCAGUCUACUGGGCUAUCAGUGUAACACGUGAAUCUAUAGGUCUAUAGUUUAUUUUUUUACAAUAAAAUGUAAAUU